rnacentral:rRNA from 1 species
UACAGAGGGUGCGAGCGUUGUCCGGAAUUACUGGGCGUAAAGGGCGCGUAGGCGGCUUGGCAAGUGGAAGGUGAAAUCCCUCGGCUCAACUGAGGAACUGCCUUCCAGACUGCUUUGCUUGAGUCCGGGAGAGGUGAGUGGAAUUCCCAGUGUAGCGGUGAAAUGCGUAGAUAUUGGGAGGAACACCAGUGGCGAAGGCGGCUCACUGGACCGGAACUGACGCUGAGGCGCGAAAGCGUGGGGAGCAAACGGG